UACGGAGGAUGCGAGCGUUAUCCGGAUUUAUUGGGUUUAAAGGGUGCGUAGGUGGUUGUUUAAGUCAGCGGUGAAAGUUUGUGGCUCAACCAUAAAAUUGCCGUUGAAACUGGAUGACUUGAGUAUAUUUGAGGUAGGCGGAAUGCGUGGUGUAGCGGUGAAAUGCAUAGAUAUCACGCAGAACUCCGAUUGCGAAGGCAGCUUACUAAACUAUAACUGACACUGAAGCACGAAAGCGUGGGGAU
rnacentral:rRNA from 1 species